rnacentral:rRNA from 1 species
GUUGAACGCUGGCGGCAGGCCUAAUACAUGCAAGUCGAACGAGUGGCGGACGGGUGUGUCAUGUCUGGGAAACUGCCCGAAGGAGGGGGAUAACUACUGGAAACGGUAGUUAAUACCGCAUACCAUCGGAUGUGCCCAGAUGGGAUUGGCCAGUGGGUGGGGGAACGGCUCACCUAGGCAACGAUCCCUAGCUGGUCUGAGAGGAUGACCAGCCACACUGGAACUGAGACACGGUCCAGACUCCUACGGGAGGCAGCAGUGGGGAAUAUUGCACAAUGGGCGCAAGCCUGAGGCAGCCAUGCCGCGUGUAUGAAGAAGGCCUUCGGGUUGUAAAGUACUUUCAGCGAGGAGGCGUUACUCGCAGAAUAAGCACCGGCUAACUACGUGCCAGCCGCCGCGGUAAUAC